rnacentral:rRNA from 1 species
CCUACGGGAGGCAGCAGUGGGGAAUUUUGGACAAUGGGCGAAAGCCUGAUCCAGCCAUGCCGCGUGCAGGAUGAAGGCCUUCGGGUUGUAAACUGCUUUUGUACGGAACGAAAAGUCUCUUUCUAAUAAAGAGGGAUCAUGACGGUACCGUAAGAAUAAGCACCGGCUAACUACGUGCCAGCAGCCGCGGUAAUACGUAGGGUGCAAGCGUUAAUCGGAAUUACUGGGCGUAAAGCGUGCGCAGGCGGUUAUAUAAGACAGUUGUGAAAUCCCCGGGCUCAACCUGGGAACUGCAUCUGUGACUGUAUAGCUAGAGUACGGUAGAGGGGGAUGGAAUUCCGCGUGUAGCAGUGAAAUGCGUAGAUAUGCGGAGGAACACCGAUGGCGAAGGCAAUCCCCUGGACCUGUACUGACGCUCAUGCACGAAAGCGUGGGGAGCAAACAGGAUUAGAUACCCUGGUAGUCCACGCCCUAAACGAUGUCAACUGGUUGUUGGGAAUUCACUUUCUCAGUAACGAAGCUAACGCGUGAGUUGACCGCCUGGGGAAGUCGGCCGCAAGGUUGAAACUUCAAAGUUGUUAGUUGGCGNGNGNGNGNGACGAGACGACGACGGAGGAGGNGG